GGAAGGAUCAUUACCGAAUCGUCAAACACGGGCUGUUGCUGGCCUCCCAAACGGGGGGCACGUGCACGCUCUGUUUACACAUCCACUCACACCUGUGCACCCUCUGUAGUUCUGUGGAUCGGGAGACGCCGUCUUCCUUCCGUAGCUCUACGUCUUUACACACGCACCGUAGCGACGUCUCAUGGAAUGUUUUUUCGCGUUUAACGCAAUACAAUACAACUUUCAGCAACGGAUCUCUUGGCUCUCGCAUCGAUGAAGAACGCAGCGAAAUGCGAUAAGUAAUGUGAAUUGCAGAAUUCAGUGAAUCAUCGAAUCUUUGAACGCACCUUGCGCCCCUUGGUUAUUCCUUGGGGCAUGCCUGUUUGAGUAUCAUGAACACCUCAACUCUCGUGGUCUUCCGCGACGAGCUUGGACUUUGGGGGUUUGCCGGCCCUGCGGCCGGCUCCUCUCGAACGAAUCAGCUUUCCAGUGUUUGGCGGCGUCACGGGUGUGAUAACUAUCUACGCUCGCGGUCGUUUGCCAGGUAACCCUCGGCGACGAAGGUUCAUUGGGGCUCACAAACGUCUCUCCCCGGCGAAGACAACUUUUGAACGUUCGAUCUCAAAUCAGG
rnacentral:sRNA from 1 species